UACGGGGGAUGCAAGCGUUAUCCGGAAUCAUUGGGCGUAAAGCGCCUGUAGGUUGUUUAAUAAGUCUGUUGUUAAAGACUAGGGCUUAACCCCAGGAAAGCAAUGGAAACUACUAGACUUGAGUAUGAUAGGGGUAGAGGGAAUUUCUAGUGUAGCGGUGAAAUGCGUAGAUAUUAGAAAGAACACCGGUGGCGAAGGCGCUCUACUGGAUCAUUACUGACACUCAGAGGCGAAAGCUAGGGUAGCAAAAGGGAUUAGAUACCCCUGUAGUCCUAGCCGUAAACGAUGGAUACUACAUGUUGCGUUUUUAAUGCAGUAUGGUAGCUAACGCGUUAAGUAUCCCGCCUGGGGAGUACGGUCGCAAGGCUG
rnacentral:rRNA from 1 species